rnacentral:rRNA from 1 species
AGAGUUUGAUCAUGGCUCAGAACGAACGCUGGCGGCGUGCUUAAUACAUGCAAGUCGAACGUGAAUCCCGACUUCGGUUGGGAUGAAAGUGGCGAACGGGUGAGUAACACGUAAGUAAUCUGCCUUCAAGUUUGGGAUAACCCUGCCAACGCGGGGCUAAUACCGGAUGUGGUCCAGCUGACACAUGUUGGCUGGAUUAAAGGUCGCGAGGCCGCUUGGAGAUGAGCUUGCGGCCCAUUAGUUAGUUGGUGAGGUAACGGCCCACCAAGACGAAGAUGGGUAGCCGGCCUGAGAGGGUGUACGGCCACAUUGGGACUGAGAUACGGCCCAGACUCCUACGGGAGGCAGCAGUAGGGAAUUUUGCGCAAUGGACGGAAGUCUGACGCAGCAACGCCGCGUGAAGGAUGACGGCCUUCGGGUUGUAAACUUCUGUUGGAUGGGAAAAAAAGCCUAGGAAUAGGAAUUGAUGGUACCAUUCGAGUAAGCACCGGCUAACUACGUGCCAGCAGCCGCGGUAAUACGUAGGGUGCGAGCGUUGUUCGGAAUCACUGGGCGUAAAGGGAGCGUAGGCGGGAUCGUAAGUUAGGAGUUUAAUACAUGGGCUCAACCCGUGAUAUGCUUUUAAUACUGCGGUUCUUGAGUAUGGGAGAGGGUGAUGGAAUUCCAGGUGUAGCGGUGGAAUGCGUAGAUAUCUGGAAGAACACCAGUAGCGAAGGCGGUCACCUGGCCCAAUACUGACGCUGAGGCUCGAAAGCUGGGGGAGCAAACAGGAUUAGAUACCCUGGUAGUCCCAGCCGUAAACGAUGGACACUAGUUGCCGGGAGAGUCAAUCCUUUCGGUGACGAAGCUAACGCAUUAAGUGUCCCGCCCGGGAAGUACGCCCGCAAGGGUGAAACUCAAAUGAAUUGACGG